AGGAUGAACGCUGGCGGCGUGCUUAACACAUGCAAGUCAAGGGGGCCCAGCAAUGGGUAACCGGCGAACGGGUGCGUAACACGUGAGCAACCUACCGAAUUGUGGGGGAUAGCCGGCCCAACGGCCGGGUAAUACCGCAUACGCUCGAGACGAGGCAUUUCGACUCGAGGAAACCUACGGGACAUUUCGAGGGGCUCGCGGCCUAUCAGCUAGUUGGUGAGGUAACGGCUCACCAAGGCGACGACGGGUAG
rnacentral:rRNA from 1 species